CUUCAAGGUUGACCUCGGAUCAGGUAGGGAUA
rnacentral:rRNA from 1 species